GAUUCAUGAUAACUUAACGGAUCGCAUGGCCUUGCGCCGGCGACGGUUCAUUCAAAUUUCUGCCCUAUCAACUUUCGAUGGUAAUGUAUUGGCUUACCAUGGUUUCAACGGGUAACGGGGAAUUAGGGUUCGAUUCCGGAGAGGGAGCCUGAGAAACGGCUACCACAUCCAAGGAAGGCAGCAGGCGCGCAAAUUACCCAAUCCCGACACGGGGAGGUAGUGACAAUAAAUACUGAUACAGGGCUCUUUAGGGUCUUGUAAUCGGAAUGAGUACAAUUUAAACCUCUUAACGAGGAACAAUUGGAGGGCAAGUCUGGUGCCAGCAGCCGCGGUAAUUCCAGCUCCAAUAGCGUAUAUUAAAGUUGUUGCAGUUAAAAAGCUCGUAGUUGAAUCUUGGGCCUGGCUGGCCGGUCCGCCUCACCGCGUGUACUGGUCUGGCCGGGCCUUUCCUUCUGGAGAACCUCAUGCCCUUCAGUGGGUGUGUUGGGGAACCAGGACUUUUAC
rnacentral:rRNA from 1 species